AUACGUGAGAGCCUGCCUCCGCUCGUGGGCGUUGUCACGCAGUUUCAUGCUUGGUGGCACAUCUUCACGGGACUCGGUUCCUACCUUCACAUCCUGUUCAGUUUAUAUUCCCGGACGCUUUACCUGAAAUACAGGCCAAAGGUCAAGAGAAAAACAAAAGUUACGGCAUACAUAGAAUCUGCAGAGUCAAUAUAACAUUGAGAAGAAGAUUUAAGGGCUUCCAGCAUCCAGAAAUCUAUAUUUAUUUUCUUUGAUUGCGUUGAAAGAUUUUAUCACGUUUCAUGCUUGCGUUUGCUAUGCCAACAUUUGCAGAAUAAACAGUGUCUGUUUCCC